rnacentral:lncRNA from 1 species
ACCUGGCGGCGGCGCCCUAGGCCUCGGAGGCUGCCCGGGCGGGCUGGGGCUCGGGCGGCGCUCGCUGAGAGUCGCGGCGCCCCUCAGCCGCUUCCCGGGCGCCGAUCGCCGCCCUCCUGCCCCGGGGUGGGGCCCAGGGGCAUCAGCAGCCGCGGGCUCUCGGCCGCCGCCUGGGAACUCAGGGAUCUUCCUCUUACUUGACUGGGGAAUCCAAUCAGGAGCAGUGAAAGAUAUGCAAAUACCUUGAUGAUUUGCUCUUAUAAGGACUCAUCACUUCUCAAAAAACUUCCAAAUACACCUAAAAUGAGUUAUUCUUAAGAAGGAGAAUGAGGAUCCAACCCUUUAACUGAGAUCAAGAUCUAUUCCUGAGCAUCAAUGAGAGAAGACUGGACCAUGUGGGAACAGCUUAGAGUGAAGCCAACUCCCCAGCUUAGGAGACCAAGUGAGGAAUGCAACACUAGGAUUCUUGACCAGAUUUCUACUAAAGCAAAGACUUAAGAACAGAACUGCAUGCUCCACAAGUAAACCCCAAUGGCC